rnacentral:rRNA from 1 species
GUAAAAGUCGUAACAAGGUUUCCGUAGGUGAACCUGCGGAAGGAUCAUUAUUGAAUGAACUUGGUUGGGCUGUUGCUGGCUCUCUUUUGGGGGCAUGUGCACGCUUGGCACCAAUUUCUUACCACCUGUGCACCUAUUGUAGACUAGGAAUCAACUCUUCGAGGUUUGACUCGGUUAUUGGUAAUUGCAGUGUGUGCAAGCCUGCUUUUUUGCCUACAGGUUCCUGUCUAUGCUUUUUUAUUAUACUCCUAUUUGUAUGUCUGGGAAUGUUAUUGAAUGGCAUGAAUUGCCCUUUAAUCUUAUUAUACAACUUUCAACAAUGGAUCUCUUGGCUCUCGCAUCGAUGAAGAACGCAGCGAAAUGCGAUAAGUAAUGUGAAUUGCAGAAUUCAGUGAACCAUCGAAUCUUUGAACGCACCUUGCGCUCCUUGGAAAUUCUGAGGAGCAUGCCUGUUUGAGUGUCAUGAUAUUCUCAACCUCUUCAACUUUUUGUUGAACGAGGCUUGGUAGUUGGGGGUAUGCCGGUGUUUUUUUUUCUUUUGUAAAAAAUUGGCUCUCCUCAAAUGCAUUAGCAGAACCUUUGUGGAACCAGCUUUCAGUGUGAUAAUUAUCUAUGCUGUAGCUUGCGAAGCAAUAUUGAUUGGGGUUUCAGCUUCUAACUGUCUCUUGUAGACAAACCUCUUGACUCUAUUUGACCUCAAAUCAGGUAGGACUACCCGCUGAACUUAAGCAUAUCAAUAAGCGGAG